UCAAAACUGUACCUGCAUGUCUGAACCUGGAUCUGAUAUUCUAGUUCCCUUCUAAUAAAAUAAUGUUCUUUUCUGCAGAUGUGCCAUUGCAACAGGGUGGCCAAGAAAGGACUCUGCAUCCAGCACAUCUUCAAGAAUCACUCAGAAACCAAGAGAAUAUUUCCCUACCAGUUCAUGCUCCACUGAUUAUAAGGCUCAACAAUGCUGAAGAUGAACAGGACGAUGAAGAGGAUGAUGACAAAGAGAACUAUGUUUCUAAUUGGGUGCCUAAGACUGCUGCAGAAAUUGAAGAGGAAAGAACCAUAAAGGAAAUAUGCUAUAAAACUGGAGAGUAUUACAGGAUCCAGCACCCCCACAAACACCAAUCAACAGAAACUGUGUCUUCACCUCAGGAAAAGGAAAUAUUACUCUUGGAAGCUAUGGAGCGAGACUUAGAGAAAGGCAAGUAAUAUUCAUCUUCUCAGACAAUA